GACGAACGCUGGCGGCGUGCCUAAUACAUGCAAGUAGAACGCACAGUUUAUACCGUAGCUUGCUACACCAUAGACUGUGAGUUGCGAACGGGUGAGUAACGCGUAGGUAACCUGCCUGGUAGCGGGGGAUAACUAUUGGAAACGAUAGCUAAUACCGCAUAAUAUUAAUUAUUGCAUGAUAAUUAAUUUAAAGUUGCAAUUGCACCACUACCAGAUGGACCUGCGUUGUAUUAGCUAGUAGGUGAGGUAACGGCUCACCUAGGCGACGAUACAUAGCCGACCUGAGAGGGUGAUCGGCCACACUGGGACUGAGACACGGCCCAGACUCCUACGGGAGGCAGCAGUAGGGAAUCUUCGGCAAUGGACGAAAGUCUGACCGAGCAACGCCGCGUGAGUGAAGAAGGUUUUCGGAUCGUAAAGCUCUGUUGUAAGAGAAGAACGGGUGUGAGAGUGGAAAGUUCACACUGUGACGGUAUCUUACCAGAAAGGGACGGCUAACUACGUG
rnacentral:rRNA from 1 species